rnacentral:rRNA from 1 species
AUGUCUCUUUGAGAAAAUUCGUAUAAAGAGUCUGACCUGCCCGGUGACGUAGGUUUAACGGCUGCAGUAUCCUGACUGUGCAAAGGUAGCAUAAUAAUUUGUCUUUUAAUUGGAGGAUGGAAUCAACGGCCUGACGAGAGCAAAGCUGUCUUUUUUAUUUUUGAUAGAAUUUAUCUUUUAAGUUAAAAGACUUAAAUACAACUAAAAGACGAUAAGACCCUAUUGAGCUUUAAAAAAAUAAAAUGGUUAUCUGAUAUUAGCAAGAUUAAUGACAAUUUUAAAAAUUUUGGUUGGGGCGACUGCGGAGUAUAAAAAACCUCCGGAUUAAUGAGCUAAUUUCUAUUUUUGAUCCAUAAUUUAUGAUAAUUGGAAUUAGUUACCAUAGGGAUAACAGCGCACUGCUUUUAGGAAGAUCAUAUUUCUAAGGGAGAUCGCGACCUCGAUGUUGGAUUAAGGUAUACUAAAAGGCGCAGAAGCUUUUUAAGUUAGUCUGUUCGACUAUUAAAUCCUU